CCUACGGGAGGCAGCAGUGGGGGAUAUUGCACAAUGGAGGAAACUCUGAUGCAGCGACGCCGCGUGAGUGAAGAAGUAUUUCGGUAUGUAAAGCUCUAUCAGCUGGGAAUAAAAAAAUGAAGGUACCAGAGUAAGAAGCACCGGCUAAAUACGUGCCAGCCGCCGCGGUAAU
rnacentral:rRNA from 1 species